rnacentral:rRNA from 1 species
UACAGAGGUCUCAAGCGUUUGUUCGGAUUCAUUGGGCGUAAAGGGUGCGUAGGUGGCGCGCUAAGUCAGGUGUGAAAUUUCGGGGCUUAACUCCGAAACUGCAUUUGAUACUGGCGUGCUUGAGGACUGGAGAGGAGACUGGAAUUCACGGUGUAGCAGUGAAAUGCGUAGAUAUCGUGAGGAAGACCAGUGGCGAAGGCGGGUCUCUGGACAGUUCCUGACACUGAGGCAGCGAAGGCCAGGGAGCAAACCGGG